AAAUUGCAAAAAUAAUUAUUAAAGAUCUGCAUCUACACGCACCUUGAAAACUAAUAACUUAGUAGGGAGAAGAGAAAGGAUAGUGUAAUAGCCCUGUUUUUAAAGAUGUUUAUUUAAAUGCUAAUUACAUUCAUUAAGUUAAUUAUGUUUCGGAAAUUCUUAUUUGAGUUGGAGUUGAAUUAUAUUGUCGUCUUUUUAAUAUACUUAUAUGUUUAAUUUUAUAAGGUUAUUAUUAUUAAUAUUAUUUUAUAUUUUGAAUUUUGUGCAUUUAGUUGAGCGGUAUUUGGUCCAAAUAGAAAACAAAGUCGGGUUCCCAUCCUUUAAUAUUGGCAGUUUGUUUUGGAAGAUGAACUCCAAAGUUUCCCCUUUCUUUUGGUCGGUCAAAUUAGAUCCCAAACCCCUUAUUUCUUUCUUGUACCUUCUAACCCCAUGAAACCCCAAUCCCCGUGAAAUGAAGAAACCCAAAACCCCAAACAUCAAUAUUUUUCUCUCUCUCUCGUCCUGCUCGAGCUCCACCGACGAACAACCGCCGGACUUGCGCUGCCGUUGUCGCGCUGCUGCUCGUCGGUGUUUCGAUUAUUGUCGCGUCUUCCCUUCGCCUGAGUUUCAUCUUCUCUGCCGUUCUGUAGCCCCCUGUUCUUCUCUCUCCGCCGUCGUUGUGUUGUUGUUGUUUGUGUUCAGUGCUGCUUUGCGUCACGUCGCCUGUUCACCGUUGACGGACCCUCGUCGCACCACGAACCCCCGCGAACCGCCGAAGUUCUCUGCGUCCCUGCUCAAUAGAGCAGAGGUAUGAUAUACCUCUUUCUCUUAUUCUGGUUUUCUAUUUGUAAUUUAUGCUCGGGUUGUUGUUGUGGUUUGUUGUUGUUAUUUGGUGCUGUCGUGUUGUUGUUAUUUGGUGCUGUCGUGUUGUUGGUGUCGUCGUUAUUGUUGUUGUUCUUUGCUGUGGUAGUGGUGUUGUUAUCUGGUUGUCAUUGUUAAAGAAACAACCAAGUCAGGUUGUUAUUUUCCUAAUGGAGAAAAAGGAAUAGUUAGCUUUUGUCUUCCUUUCAUAUUAUUAAAUUAGUUGCUUGCUUGUUUAGGAAAGUUAUUAGUAGAGUUAAAUUUGUUUAGUUUGAUUAAGUUAAGAGUUAUAGUUCUUAAUUGAGGAUAAAGGAAAUUAGAGUGAUAAGUGGAGGUAAUUUCUAGAUUGGGAAUUAGUUGUGAUUAUGAUUUCUAGUUUAGAUUAGUUUAAGUUUGAUGAUUCAUUAUCGCUAUAAUUGUGAGGUGAUUCUUAGAGGAUGAUUUUGGAGUGAAGAAUCGUUCGGGAUUAUGAAGUUGAUUCUGUCGUUGGACUCGGAUUGCGUAUGAGGUUUGAUAUUCAGAGCUCGGAAUUCGAAGUGGAGCAAGAUCAAGUUGUCAUAGUAGCUUAAGGAUUAAGCUUGUAUUUUAGGUUGUUGGUUUGAGAAUAGUUAUUUAUAUUUCGUUGUAUAUAAUAUUUAGGACUAUUAGUUCAACUAUUGGUGUAUUUGAGGAUAUUUUUCCGCUGCGAUUCUAUUAAUUAAGAGUUAAUUAUUUGUUGA